UAGGGAAUAUUGGACAAUGGGCGAAAGCCUGAUCCAGCCAUGCCGCGUGUGUGAAGAAGGUCUUCGGAUUGUAAAGCACUUUAAGUUGGGAGGAAGGGCAGUAAGCUAAUACCUUGCUGUUUUGACGUUACCGACAGAAUAAGCACCGGCUAACUCUGCGCCAG
rnacentral:rRNA from 1 species